rnacentral:rRNA from 1 species
CCUGCAGCCAUUUCACUUUGGUGGCAACUGAGCUUGCCAGAUAUCAGAAGGUACACAGUCAGGUCUGGUUAGUAUUUGGAUGAGAGUUCUCUGGAGAGCAUUGGGUUGAUAUUAGGG